AAUGAACGUUGGCGGCGUGGAUUAGGCAUGCAAGUCGAGCGAGAACCCCGCAAGGGGGGACAGCGGCAAACGGGGUAGUAAUGUGUCGGAACGUGCCCUCUGGACGGGGAUAGCGGCGGGAAACUGCCGGUAAUACCCGAUGAUCUCGAGAGAGCAAAGGUGUGAUUCCGCCGGAGGAGCGGCCGACAUGGUAUUAGCUAGUUGGCGGGGUAACGGCCCACCAAGGCUGUGAUGCCUAGGGGAUGUGAGAGCAUGAUCCCCACCAUUGGGACUGAGACACUGCCCAGACACCUACGGGUGGCUGCAGUCGAGAAUCUUCGUCAAUGGGCGAAAGCCUGAACGAGCGACGCCGCGUGCGGGAUGAAGGCCCUUGGGUUGUAAACCGCUGUCGAGGGGGAUGAAGGCAUUCAGGUACUCCUGAAUGUUUGACAGAGCCCUGGAGGAAGCACGGGCUAAGUUCGUGCCAGCAGCCGCGGUAAGAC
rnacentral:rRNA from 1 species